UUCACUGGAGGUGCGGGUUCGGAGGACUACUUCUGGGAGAGAUGAAGGCUGCUCUGAAGGGAUUAGGGCUCUGCCUGGUGAUGGAGCUGCGGAGCAAGGGAGAACUUCCUCCUGGGCCUGGCCACCCUCAACGAAGACAUCCCUCAAGUUGGAAAUGUUUUGGAAGAUGGUCACAUAACAGCCAAUACGACUAUCAGGAGGCAAAACGACAAACAUAUACAGAUUUGAAAGGAUCUUAGCAAUUAUCUGGUCCAAUUUCCUAUUCAAUACACGAAGCUUCUCUACCACAGCCAAGGUUGAAUUCCUCUUUCACCUAACAGAUUUUCAAGCAUUUGAAGGUAAUUUUUAUGACUCCUCCAGGCUUCCUCUUCUCUACAAUAAACAUCUUUAGUCCCAUCACUGUUUCUCACAACUAAAAGGGAUGCUCUGACCUGGAUCUAAUUCAAUACCAGCCCAAAUCUAGUUCACUGAAAUCUAAGCAUUAAUAUAACCUUCACGCUAACCUUUUGUCUAACCCUCAACUUUUAACCCUUCUCCUAACUUACCCAACUUCAUUCCUAACCAUGGGCUCUAGAUCUAUUUCCAAGGCAUAACCCAAUACAUUCUCUAACUUAUAUGGGCCCCCCAUAACCCA